rnacentral:rRNA from 1 species
UACGUAGGGUGCGAGCGUUGUCCGGAAUUACUGGGCGUAAAGCGCACGUAGGCGGCUUUGUAAGUUAGAGGUGAAAGCCCAGGGCUUAACCCUGGAAUGGCCUUUAAGACUGCAUCGCUAGAAUCGUGGAGAGGUGAGUGGAAUUCAUGGUGUAGCAGUGAAAUGCGUAGAGAUCAUGAGGAAGACCAGUGGCGAAGGCGGGUCUCUGGACAGUUCCUGACACUGAGGCACGAAGGCCAGGGGAGCAAACAGG